rnacentral:rRNA from 1 species
GUGGGGAAUAUUGGACAAUGGGGGGAACCCUGAUCCAGCCAUGCCGCGUGUGUGAAGAAGGCCUUUUGGUUGUAAAGCACUUUAAGCGAGGAGGAGGCUACCGAGAUUAAUACUCUUGGAUAGUGGACGUUACUCGCAGAAUAAGCACCGGCUAACUCUGUGCCAGCAGCCGCGGUAAUACAGAGGGUGCAAGCGUUAAUCGGAUUUACUGGGCGUAAAGCGCGCGUAGGUGGCCAAUUAAGUCAAAUGUGAAAUCCCCGAGCUUAACUUGGGAAUUGCAUUCGAUACUGGUUGGCUAGAGUAUGGGAGAGGAUGGUAGAAUUCCAGGUGUAGCGGUGAAAUGCGUAGAGAUCUGGAGGAAUACCGAUGGCGAAGGCAGCCAUCUGGCCUGAUACUGACACUGAGGUGCGAAAGCAUGGGGAGCAAACAGGAUUAGAAACCCUGGUAGUCC